GGGAAAACAACUUGCAGGAGUUGGUUUUCUACUUACACCAUGUGAAUCUUGGGGAUUGAACUCAGGUCUUCAGGUUUGCUGGGAAACAUGUUUACUACCUGAGUCAUCUCUUCUACCCUAUAAUAGGUUUUGACAGAGUUUAUGCACUGGAUGCCAUGCUAAUGUAGGACUGACUUCCAAAGAUAGAGGCCAGGAUCUGUGUAGUUUGCUUUGACCCUUCGAACUGGAUCAUCAUAGUUACCAAGGACAUAGUAAAUCUGAUGUUGAGGUGGACCCUGAAUGUCACAGGAGAGCAGAAGCAUCAGAAGCCGAGAAAAUGAAUCUCGUUUCAAGGCCUUGGAGAAGGCAAUGGAUUUUAUUACCCUGAAGAAGAGAUUUCACCAUUGUGUGAUCCCAUAAGGGCCAUCUGCUUCUCCCAAACACAGUUGGUCUGGAAGAGGUAGCUAGGAACCAGAUGAGCUUCUGCCUCUGCAGGUGAAUCAGAAGAGAAGAUAUAAUUCUUGUCGGCAAAGAAGAAACAAAUGGAAGUGCAGCAUACCACUACUACCAAGACCCUCGAGCAUAAGGCCUUGGGAGUCAGGAAAGUCAACCAAGAUGCAAAACAAGAGGGCACACUCUUGCUACAGCAAACAUGUGGCAGUCAGUUUGCUGGAAUUGGUUCUCUCCUAGUAUCUCGGGUUUGAACUUAGAUCAUCAGCCUUGGAGGCAAACAUCUUUACCAACUGAGCUAUUUCUCUGUCCUCCCCAAAGCGACUAUCAUUCUUUCUAAGUUGCUGUCCAGUGCUUCAAUCCUGUGGCUCACCUGUUGUUGAAACUUGAGAAGAAACAGCACUGUAUUUCUAGCCAUUAAUAGUAGCACGGCUCAUAUAAUAAGGUAAGAGUUUCUGUUUGAACUUGUCCUUUUGUCUUGAGUGAGUUAUUAACUACAGGGCCUUAUUCAGACACUGCCUGCAUGUAAUUCUACUUUAACUUUUGGUCUCUCCAUGAGAACAUAAGAUGCCUUGUGGUCUUUGCUUUGUAAAGGGAAACGUGUUCAUGUAAAUGCACUAGAUAUGGACAUCACUAUCUCUAUGGGUUGUAGUCACCUAUUUGGCCACAAUUAAACCAAGGAAUGGUUUGUGGUUUGUAUGGAUGUCAUGUAACUGAUGUCACGGACAUUUGAAGCCCAUCAUGGCUGAUGCCAAGCCUUGGGAAGAGACUGAUCAAGGUAGAAUCCACACCAGGAGCCCUCCAUUUCUUCUCAUGCCCCGUUGUCACAGGUGUAUUAUAUCACCAGGCUGGCUUAUCUGACAUCCAUUCCCCAAGUCUGUUUGUCUUUACUUCCAUCUUUGAUCAUGUCCCCUUCCUUUCUGUUAUCUAGCUGGAACAAUAGCACCAAUGUCUAAGAGCAGUAAACACAUCAGGAGCCACCAAACAGCAGAAAAGACUGGUGAGGCCUUUCUCAGUACCAUUUCCAUCAUUCAGAUGAGA
rnacentral:lncRNA from 1 species